CUUAUUUAAAAAUAAUGUU
rnacentral:miRNA from 1 species